GUUCUAGCAUCGUGGACACAGGCCUUUACGCAGAUACAUAGGUCGGUAUGAGAGAAACCUGAGAGCUGCCACGCCGGCGUUUUACUUGAUACCGUUUCAAGAGACUGUUUUGCGCGGCUUUCUUCUGACACUGCCGAUAAAGUCACCACUUUGUGCGUGUCCAUGCUACGCUUAUUUUUCAAGGUUUUUGCUGUAAAAUUCAAACUUGCAUUAACAUAAAUCAUCUGCAUAUUUACGUCAACUUUUUUCAUAUAGACAAUGUAAAUUUUAUAUAAAUGAGACGUCAGAAUGCAUAGCACAGACAUGCACCAAGUGGAAAGUUUAUCGGCAGAGUCAGAAAGUGCGUAAGGGCGCGCAAAACCGUCUCCUGAAACGGUAUCAAGUAAAAUGCAGGCGUGGCCGCUCUCAGAUUUCUCUCUGUUGGUAUCCAUAUAAAUGGGGGAUUCCCAAUUUCAUCAACGUACGGGGUCAGCAUUAUUAGUUGCAUCAGCGUUUGAGUCAGGGUUCCUAGAGUCUCCACCUCAGUGUUUCGCGCGGAAUCUCGUUAGUAUGUAAUUGUUUUAACAAAUGAACUGUGAAACGAGACGUUUGUUUCUACGUGUAUGCAAAUGCUGAUGCUCCGUCGUACCGCACGUAACGCAAGUUCAUAAUUGACAGUCGAAGUACUUGAUAUUGACAAUCAAAGAAAAGGAAAGGACAUGGCCGACGGACAAGAGGAGAUGAGCGUAAAGGCAAAGCUGUCAAAGUUACAUUGCCCAUUUACUUGGGAAAUACUUGACAGUAUGAUUAAACAUAGUAUGACAAAUGGUAAAAGCGGCGAAGUAAUCGACCCCACCGAUCAAAUAAUAAAUGAUGAAACAACCCAUUGUUUAGAACGUUUAUUGAGAACUUUGUUCCAAUGUUACAAAGCUGUGUCGAGCGCAGAUAACGCUGAAGCAACAACAAGAAUUGAAAAAGCUGAAGAGAUCUUAAUGGAGGUUCAACAAGAGAAAGAAUUUCAUCGAAUAAUACGAGCAAUUGAACAUGUUUUUUACGCUACAAAGUGUUUUUUCUUGUACGAAACUGAUAACAUAGAUGGAGUAGAAGAAAUUUCACCUAAUAUCGUAGAUGUUGAAGAUUUUACCGAUGUUGAAUUGGGUGCCUUGUACGGUUGCCAGAGUGUUGUAUGGUCUUGCUUGAAAGAUCAUGGGAUGGACAAAGCAGUUGCCAUAGCUAGGAAAGCAGUGGAAAAGAAUCAAGAUUGUGCGUUGUGGCACUUUAAUCUUGCCAUGAAUCUUAGACGUCAAAGACGUUUGAUAAAUGUUUCAUCCGACGUAUCGGAUAUCGAAAGAAAACAUUUCGAAAUAGCAUAUGCAAUAUCAAAAAAUCACAUAUUCGGAAUAUAUUUUUUACAAAUGCGAAUGGAAAGCUUUUACAAGUUUAAUAAAGAAAGAAGUUAUAUGGAAAAGAAGGUUGCGAAUGAAAGAGAAGUAAUCAAGAUUGCGAAGGAUAUUUUGAAAUCAAAACCUAGCAAUUUCAAAGUGCUCGUAAAACUAGCUCUCAUGUUUCUACGUGCACAUUCGGAUGAGAGACAAUCGGCAAAAGAAUGUCUUGACGCUGUAAAUAAGAUAGCGCCAAAUAAUUCUACGUAUCUGCAUUACAGUGCAAUGUUGUACGAGCAGAGUGGAGAUUAUAGGGAAGCCUUAAAGUAUUUCAAAAAGGCUGCUGAAUGUAAUAACUUUGUAGCAGAGCUUUGCUAUAUACAAUAUGGCUGGGAAGUAGGAGAGCUGGAACCAUUACCGCAUUUAUUGCGAAUGUUGAAAAAGUACGAGCAAUCGGUAAAGGAAAGAAAAAUAGCUAUAUUGUUAGCGAUUGCGAUAGCUUAUUAUUCGCUUCGUAAUGAUCUACCAAAUGCAGCAGAAUACUUUUUAAAAGCCCUUGCUGUUGACCCAUUAAACAAAAAGUUCAAGACGUAUUACAAGUGUUUUGAUUUCACUACCGGCAAUAUUACGUCUUUUCUAAACGUUACGUUUUGUCCUCUUUUCGAAAAAAGAUUGUUGCGUCUUAAAACAUCCGAGAGGUAUCUAAAAAUUGAGACGUUAUAUCCUGGUUUAUAAUAUCCUUGAGGUAUUUCAACAAAUUCGAGACAUUUUAUUUUGAACUGCUCUUCAUGGCAAAGUUAAGCGAAGAGAUAUACAAAUGGUACAGUGCGAGCUGCGACUUGCGAGUACGCAGACUGCGCAGAGAUGCGCAGAGACGCGCGCGUUCACGCAAGUGAAAUUCAAACUUCGUCGGGGCGCGAUGAAUGCUGCUGGCGUGCGAGUGAGGAUAUACGACGAGGGAAAAUGUAUAAACGAGCACGAGACUUGCCGAUCAGACGGCAACGAUUUGAAGACGUUGAUCGAGGAUCUGCGGAACACGCAAUCUGUGGUAAACGAUUUGUUAACCGCGCUAGUUCAACAGCGCGAUGUGUCCGGCGGGGCGCGAGAAAUGAAGGAUCAAUCGGCCUCGUCGGACAUCGAAUCUGACUCCGCCGAGGAGGAGCAGGAGGAAGAAGAAAGGACGGAACGCGAGACUAACCCCAAAAAGUAGUGUACAGCAUUUUUAUCAGAUCUGCCGCGAUGCUGGCGAUGACAAAUGGCUAGAACGCGAUAACGCGUGUUCCCUGCGUGAGAACAACCGUCUCUGGUCUUCUGGGCCGUUGAGCGUCGAGCGACGACGGACGUGGCGCACAGCCUGGCGGAGGCCCCGAGACACGACUU